rnacentral:tRNA from 1 species
GCCGGUGUAGUUCAAGAGGCAGAACGGCGCACUUGUAACGCGCGCGUUGUCGGUUCGAUUCCGGCCACCGGCUCCA